rnacentral:rRNA from 1 species
UACGAAGGGGGCUAGCGUUGCUCGGAAUCACUGGGCGUAAAGCGCACGUAGGUGGCGACGUAAGUCGGGUGUGAAAGCCCCGGGCUCAACCUGGGAACUGCAUCCGAAACUGCCUUGCUAGAGUAUGGGAGAGGGAAGUGGAAUUUCCGGUGUAGCGGUGAAAUGCGUAGAUAUCGGAAGGAACAUCAGUGGCGAAGGCGACUUCCUGGACCAAUACUGACGCUCAGGUGCGAAAGCGUGGGGAGCAAACAGG